rnacentral:rRNA from 1 species
GACGAACGCUGGCGGCGUGCUUAACACAUGCAAGUCGAACGGAAAGGCCCUGCUGUUGUGGGGUGCUCGAGUGGCGAACGGAUGAGUAACACGUGAGUAACCUGCCCUUGACUUUGGGAUAACUUCAGGAAACUGGGGCUAAUACCGGAUAGGAGCUCCUGCUGCAUGGUGGGGGUUGGAAAGUUUCGGCGGUUGGGGAUGGACUCGCGGCUUAUCAGCUUGUUGGUGGGGUAGUGGCUUACCAAGGCUUUGACGGGUAGCCGGCCUGAGAGGGUGACAGGCCACAUUGGGACUGAAAUACGGCCCAGACUCCUACGGGAGGCAGCAGUGGGGAAUAUUGCACAAUGGGAGGAAGCCUGAUGCAGCAACGCCGCGUGCGGGAUGACAGCCUUCGGGUUGUAAACCGCUUUCGCCUGUGACGAAGCGUGAGUGACGGUAAUGGGUAAAGAAGCACCGGCUAACUACGUG